rnacentral:rRNA from 1 species
UACGUGGGGACCAAGCGUUGUCCGGAAUCAUUGGGCGUAAAGAGCGUGUAGGCGGCUUGUUAAGUCUUGCGUGAAAUCUCGGGGCUCAACCCCGAGCGGUCGUGAGAAACUGGCAGGCUAGAGUGCGGGAGAGGAGAGUGGAAUUCCUGGUGUAGCGGUGAAAUGCGCAGAUAUCAGGAAGAACACCCGUGGCGAAGGCGGCUCUCUGGAACGCAACUGACGCUGAGACGCGAAAGCGUGGGGAGCAAACAGG